UACGUAGGGCGCAAGCGUUGUCCGGAAUUAUUGGGCGUAAAGAGCUCGUAGGCGGUCUGUUGCGUCUGCUGUGAAAUCCCGGGGCUUAACCCCGGGCGUGCAGUGGAUACGGGCAGGCUGGAGGCAGGCAGGGGAGAACGGAAUUCCCGGUGUAGCGGUGAAAUGCGCAGAUAUCGGGAGGAACACCGGUGGCGAAGGCGGUUCUCUGGGCCUGUACUGACGCUGAGGAGCGAAAGCGUGGGGAGCGAACAGG
rnacentral:rRNA from 1 species